UACGUAGGGACCAAGCGUUGUUCGGAUUUACUGGGCGUAAAGGGCGCGUAGGCGGCUCUGCACGUCCGUUGUGAAAUCGCCCGGCUCAACUGGGCGGGGUCAGCGGAUACGGCGGAGCUUGAGCAAGCUAGGGGGCAAUGGAAUUCCCGGUGUAGUGGUGGAAUGCGUAGAUAUCGGGAGGAACACCAGUGGCGAAGGCGGUUGCCUGGGGCUUUGCUGACGCUGAUGCGCGAAAGCGUGGGGAGCGAUCCGG
rnacentral:rRNA from 1 species